rnacentral:tRNA from 1 species
GUAAAGUCAGCUAAAUAAGCUCUCGGGCCCAUACCCCGAAAAUGUGGGUUGAACCCCCACCUCUACC